rnacentral:rRNA from 1 species
AGUGAACGCUGGCGGCGUGCUUAACACAUGCAAGUCGAACGAGAACGGAAUAUAGCUUGCUAUAUUUGUCAGCUAAGUGGCGCACGGGUGAGUAAUGUAUAGAUAACCUGCCCUUAAGAAAGGAAUAACAGUUGGGAACGACUGCUAAUGCCCUAUAUGCCUUUAAUACAUAAGUAUGCAAGGGAAACGCUUUAGUGCUUAAGGAUGGGUAUGUAUGGUAUCAGCUUGUUGGUGAGGUAAUGGCUCACCAAGGCUAUGACGCCUAACUGGUUUGAGAGGAUGAUCAGUCACACUGGAACUGAGACACGGUCCAGACUCCUACGGGAGGCAGCAGUGGGGAAUAUUGCACAAUGGACGAAAGUCUGAUGCAGCAACGCCGCGUGGAGGAUGACACAUUUCGGUGCGUAAACUCCUUUUAUAUAGGAAGAUAAUGACGGUACUAUAUGAAUAAGCACCGGCUAACUCCGUGCCAGCAGCCGCAGUAAUAC